rnacentral:SRP_RNA from 1 species
GCCAGGCACGGUGGCUCAUGCCUGUAAUCCUAACACUUUGGGAGGCUGAGGUGGGUGGAUCACCUGAGGUCAGGAGUUCGAGACCAGCCUGGCCAACAUGGUGAAACCCCAUCUCUA